GAUCAACUCCGGUUGAUCCUGCCGGCGGGCACCGCUAUGGGAGUUCGCUUAAGACAUGCGAGUCGAGAGGUGAAAGACCUCGGCAAACGGCUCAGUAACACGCGGACAAUCUGCCCUCGGGUGGGGAAUACCCUCGGGAAACUGAGGAUAAUGCCCCCUAGGUCUGGGAUGCUGGAACGCUCCCAGGUCGAAAGCUCCGGCGCCCGAGGAUGAGUCUGCGGCCUAUCAGCUUGUAGGGGGUUUUACAGACCCCCUAGGCUUCGACGGGUACGGGCUAUGGGAGUAGUCGCCCGGAGAUGGAUUCUGAGACACGAAUCCAGGCCCUACGGGGCGCAGCAGUCGCGAAAACUCCACAAUGUGGGAAACC
rnacentral:rRNA from 1 species